GAGUUUGAUCUUGGCUCAGAUUGAACGCUGGCGGCAGGCCUAACACAUGCAAGUCGAGCGGUAGAGAGAAGCUUGCUUCUCUUGAGAGCGGCGGACGGGUGAGUAAUGCCUAGGAAUCUGCCUGGUAGUGGGGGAUAACGCUCGGAAACGGACGCUAAUACCGCAUACGUCCUACGGGAGAAAGCAGGGGACCUUCGGGCCUUGCGCUAUCAGAUGAGCCUAGGUCGGAUUAGCUAGUUGGUGAGGUAAUGGCUCACCAAGGCGACGAUCCGUAACUGGUCUGAGAGGAUGAUCAGUCACACUGGAACUGAGACACGGUCCAGACUCCUACGGGAGGCAGCAGUGGGGAAUAUUGGACAAUGGGCGAAAGCCUGAUCCAGCCAUGCCGCGUGUGUGAAGAAAGGUCUUCGGAUUGUAAAAGCACUUU
rnacentral:rRNA from 1 species